rnacentral:lncRNA from 12 species
ACACUGACAGGAGCCCUGAGCCACCUCAGGACCCGCGGGGAGGCUUCAGGAAGAUGUGGGUCCACAUCCACACUGACAGGAGCCCCUGAGCCACUUCAGGACCUGCAGGGAGGCUUCAGGAAGAUGUGGUGCCACGUCCACUCUUCCAGGAGCUCCCGGGCCCCUCAGGACAUAAGUUGAGGCUUCUGGAAGCUGGGGGCCGCAUUCAAGGUUACAGGAGCCCCGGCCUCCUCAGAACCCUCGGUUACGCUUUGGGAGGACUUGGGGCCACAUGGAUACAACAGGACGCUGACUUCCUCAUGACCCCGGUGUAGACUUGGGGAAAUAUGUGGAUGCAUCCAUGCGGACAGAAGACCCCAGCCUUGUCAGGGCCUGUGGUGAGGCCUAAGAAAAAUGUGGGUGCCGUAUCCACACUGACAUGUCUCCGGCCUCCUCAGAACCCACUGCGAAGGUUUGGGAAGAUUAUGGGCCACAUCCAUGCUGCCAGGAGCCCCCAGCCUCCUCAGGUCUUAUGGUGAGGUUUGAGGAAAAUGAGGGGUCAUGUCAACCCUGACAGGAAAGCCGUCCUCCUCAGGACCAGCACUUUGGCUUCAGGACAUAUGGGGCUGCGUCUAUGCUGACAGGAGCCCACAGACCCCUCAGGACCCACGGUGAGUUUUCUGGGGGCCAUGGGGCCAUGUCCAGGCUGACAGGAGCCCCCAGCUUCCUGAGGACCUGCUGUGAGGCUUUAGAGGAUGUGAGACAUAGUCCACAGUGACAGGAGAGCCGGCAUCCUCAGGACCCGCUGACUAUAACUCAGGAACACGUUGGGCCAUGUCCACACUCACAGGAGCCCGGCUUGCUUGGACCCCCUGGAGGACUCUGGAGGAGCCGUUGGGGGCCAUGUCUACAUCAGAAGGGACUCCUCAGAACCACAUGGAGCCCACAGCCCCAUCAGGACCCGCGGUGAGUUUUCUGGGAGCCAUGGAGCCAUGUCCAGGCUUACAGGAGCCCUCAACCUCCUGAGGACCUGCUGUGAGACUUCCAGAGGAUGUGAGGCAUAGUCCACAGUGACAGGAGACCCGGCGUCCUCAGGACCCACUGACUAUGACUCAGGAACACGUGGGGCCACGUUCACACUGACAGGAUCCUGGCUUCCGCAGGACCCCCUGGAGGACUCUGGAGGCGCCAUUGGGGGCCACUUCCACAUCAGAAGGGACUCCUCAGAACCACAGGGUAAGUGAAUGGGUAGAAUGAAUGGUAGGGUCAGGGGAGGGGAGGCAGUUGGUGGUUAAGUUAGGUUAGAUGUUAGGGUUUAGUGAUUAUGCUUAUGGUUACGGAUUAGAGGAUAGCAUGAGGGAUAAGGGUA